UACAGGCUUAACACAUGCAAGUCGAGGGGCAGCAUGGUCUUAGCUUGCUAAGGCCGAUGGCGACCGGCGCACGGGUGAGUAACACGUAUCCAACCUGCCGUCUACUCUUGGACAGCCUUCUGAAAGGAAGAUUAAUACAAGAUGGCAUCAUGAGUCCGCAUGUUCACAUGAUUAAAGGUAUUCCGGUAGACGAUGGGGAUGCGUUCCAUUAGAUAGUAGGCGGGGUAACGGCCCACCUAGUCUUCGAUGGAUAGGGGUUCUGAGAGGAAGGUCCCCCACAUUGGAACUGAGACACGGUCCAAACUCCUACGGGAGGCAGCAGUGAGGAAUAUUGGUCAAUGGGCGAGAGCCUGAACCAGCCAAGUAGCGUGAAGGAUGACUGCCCUAUGGGUUGUAAACUUCUUUUAUAAAGGAAUAAAGUCGGGUAUGGAUACCCGUUUGCAUGUACUUUAUGAAUAAGGAUCGGCUAACUCCGUGCCAGCAGCCGCGGUAAUACGGAGGAUCCGAGCGUUAUCCGGAUUUAUUGGGUUUAAAGGGAGCGUAGAUGGAUGUUUAAGUCAGUUGUGAAAGUUUGCGGCUCAACCGUAAAAUUGCAGUUGAUACUGGAUAUCUUGAGUGCAGUUGAGGCAGGCGGAAUUCGUGGUGUAGCGGUGAAAUGCUUAGAUAUCACGAAGAACUCCGAUUGCGAAGGCAGCCUGCUAAGCUGCAACUGACAUUGAGGCUCGAAAGUGUGGGUAUCAAACAGGAUUAGAUACCCUGGUAGUCCACACGGUAAACGAUGAAUACUCGCUGUUUGCGAUAUACUGCAAGCGGCCAAGCGAAAGCGUUAAGUAUUCCACCUGGGGAGUACGCCGGCAACGGUGAAACUCAAAGGAAUUGACGGGGGCCCGCACAAGCGGAGGAACAUGUGGUUUAAUUCGAUGAUACGCGAGGAACCUUACCCGGGCUUAAAUUGCAGAUGAAUUACGGUGAAAGCCGUAAGCCGCAAGGCAUCUGUGAAGGUGCUGCAUGGUUGUCGUCAGCUCGUGCCGUGAGGUGUCGGCUUAAGUGUCAUAACGAGCGCAACCCUUGUUGUCAGUUACUAACAGGUUCCGCUGAGGACUCUGACAAGACUGCCAUCGUAAGAUGUGAGGAAGGUGGGGAUGACGUCAAAUCAGCACGGCCCUUACGUCCGGGGCUACACACGUGUUACAAUGGGGGGUACAGAGGGCCGCUACCACGCGAGUGGAUGCCAAUCCCCAAAACCUCUCUCAGUUCGGACUGGAGUCUGCAACCCGACUCCACGAAGCUGGAUUCGCUAGUAAUCGCGCAUCAGCCACGGCGCGGUGAAUACGUUCCCGGGCCUUGUACACACCGCCCGUCAAGCCAUGGGAGCCGGGGGUACCUGAAGUGCGUAACCGCGAGGAGCGCCCUAGGGUAAAACUGGUGACUGGGGCU
rnacentral:rRNA from 1 species